rnacentral:rRNA from 1 species
GGAGAUUUCCGAAUGGAGCAAUCCGGUAGUUGGAAACAGCUAUCAUUAAUUGAUGAAUAAAUAGUCAAUUAAAGCAAUACGUGGUGAAGUGAAACAUCUCAGUAGCCACAGGAAAAGAAAACGAAUGUGAUUCCGUGUGUAGUGGCGAGCGAAAGCGGAACAGGCCAAACUUAUCAUUAGAUAGGGGUUGUAGGGCUUGCAAUGUGGACUUGAAAACGAUAGAAGAAGCUGUUGGAAAGCAGCGCGCAAAAGGGUGAUAGCCCCGUAUUUGAAAUUGUUUUCAUACCUAGCGAGAUCCCUGAGUAGCUCGGAAAACGUUAUUUUGAGUGAAUCUGCCCAGACCAUUGGGUAAGCCUAAAUACUAAUUAGUGACCGAUAGCGAAACAGUACCGUGAGGGAAAGGUGAAAAGAACCCAGAGAUGGGAGUGAAAUAGAUUCUGAAACCCAUAUGCCUACAACGUGUCAGAGCACAUUAAUGUGUGAUGGCGUGCGUUUUGAAGUAUGAGCCGGCGAGUUAUGAUAGCAAGCGUUAGUUAACCAGGAGAUGGGGAGCUGUAGCGAAAGCGAGUUUUAAAAGAGCGUUUGUUUGUUAUUAUAGACCCGAAACGGGUUGAGCUAGUCAUGAGCAGGUUGAAGGUUGAGUAACAUCAACUGGAGGACCGAACCGACUCUCGUUGAAACGAUAGCGGAUGACUUGUGAUUAGGGGUGAAAUUCCAAUCGAAAUCCGUGAUAGCUGGUUCUCGUCGAAAUAGCUUUAAGGCUAGCGUGAGAUCACAAAUAAGUGGAGGUAAAGCUACUGAAUGUAUGAUGGCGCCACCUAGGCGUACUGAAUACAAUUAAACUCUGAAUGCCAUUUAUUUUAUUCUCGCAGUCAGACAGUGGGGGAUAAGCUUCAUUGUCAAGAGGGGAAGAGCCCAGAUCAUUAAAUAAGGUCCCCAAAAUAUACUAAGUGGAAAAGGAUGUGAAAGUGCUAAAACAGCAAGGAUGUUGGCUUAGAAGCAGCCAUCGUUUAAAGAGUGCGUAACAGCUCACUUGUCGAGUGUUUUUGCGCCGAAGAUGUAACGGGGCUAAGUAUAUUACCGAAUUUAUGGAUAAGAUUUAUAUCUUGUGGUAGACGAGCGUUGUAUUGGAGUUGAAGUCAAAGCGUGAGCAUUGGUGGAUCCAAUACAAGUGAGAAUGCCGGCGUGAGUAACGCUUGGGAGUGAGAAUCUCCCAAACCGAUUGACUAAGGUUUCCUGGACCAGGGUCGUCCUUCCAGGGUUAGUCUGGACCUAAGCUGAGGCUGAAAAGCGUAGGCGAUGGACAACAGGUUAAUAUUCCUGUACUUACAGUUAGACUGAUGGAGUGACAAAGAAGGUUUUCCACCCCCAUAAUUGGAUUUGGGGAUAAAUCAUAAGGUGGUACAAUAGGCAAAUCCGUUGUGCAUAACAUUGAGUGAUGAUGUCGAGUGAAUGAGUGAUCAAGUAGCGAAGGUGGUAUUAAUCAUGCUUUCAAGAAAAGCUUCUAGGGUUAAUCUAGCUGUAACCAGUACCGAGAACGAACACACGUAGUCAAGGAGAGGAUCCUAAGGUUAGCGAGUGAACUAUAGCCAAGGAACUCUGCAAAUUAACCCCGUAAGUUAGCGAGAAGGGGUGCUUAUGUAAAAGUAAGCCGCAGUGAAGAACGAGGGGGGACUGUUUAACUAAAACACAACUCUAUGCCAAACCGUAAGGUGAUGUAUAUGGGGUGACACCUGCCCAGUGCUGGAAGGUUAAAGAAGGAGGUUAGCGCAAGCGAAGCUUUUAACUGAAGCCCCAGUGAACGGCGGCCGUAACUAUAACGGUCCUAAGGUAGCGAAAUUCCUAGUCGGGUAAAUUCCGUCCCGCUUGAAUGGUGUAACCAUCUCUUGACUGUCUCGGCUAUAGACUCGGUGAAAUCCAGGUACGGGUGAAGACACCCGUUAGGCGCAACGGGACGGGAAGACCCCGUGAAGCUUUACUGUAGCUUAAUAUUGAUCAGGACAUUAUCAUGUAGAGAAUAGGUAGGAGCAAUCGAUGCAAGUUCGCUAGGACUUGUUGAUGCGAAAGGUGGAAUACUACCCUUGGUUGUGUGCUGUUCUAAUUGGUAACUGUUAUCCAGUUUCAAGACAGUGUUAGGUGGGCAGUUUGACUGGGGGCGGUCGCCUCCUAAAAGGUAACGGAGGCGUACAAAGGUACCUUCAGUACGGUUGGAAAUCGUAUGUAGAGUGUAAUGGUGUAAGGGUGCUUGACUGUGAGACAUACAGGUCGAACAGGUGAGAAAUCANGUCAUAGUGAUCCGGUGGUCCAGUAUGGAAU